GAUGAACGCUGACAGAAUGCUUAACACAUGCAAGUCAACUUGAACUUCGGUUUGGGUGGCGGACGGGUGAGUAACGCGUAAAGAACUUGCCUCACAGUUAGGGACAACAUUUGGAAACGAAUGCUAAUACCUGAUAUUAUGAUUUUAGGGCAUCCUAGAAUUAUGAAAGCUAUAUGCGCUGUGAGAGAGCUUUGCGUCCUAUUAGCUAGUUGGAGAGGUAACGGCUCACCAAGGCGAUGAUGGGUAGCCGGCCUGAGAGGGUGAACGGCCACAAGGGGACUGAGACACGGCCCUUACUCCUACGGGAGGCAGCAGUGGGGAAUAUUGGACAAUGGACCAAGAGUCUGAUCCAGCAAUUCUGUGUGCACGAUGAAGUUUUUCGGAAUGUAAAGUGCUUUCAGUUGGGAAGAAAAAAAUGACGGUACCAACAGAAGAAGUGACGGCUAAAUACGUGCCAGCAGCCGCGGUAAUACGUAUGUCACAAGCGUUAUCCGGAUUUAUUGGGCGUAAAGCGCGUCUAGGUGGUUAUAUAAGUCUGAUGUGAAAAUGCAGGGCUCAACUCUGUAUUGCGUUGGAAACUGUGUAACUAGAGUACUGGAGAGGUAAGCGGAACUACAAGUGUAGAGGUGAAAUUCGUAGAUAUUUGUAGGAAUGCCGAUGGGGAAGCCAGCUUACUGGACAGAUACUGACGCUGAAGCGCGAAAGCGUGGGUAGCAAACAGG
rnacentral:rRNA from 1 species